AAUUGAGAUUCCGGUAGUAGCGGCGAGCGAACCUGGAAUAGCCCAAACCGAAUAGCUUGCUAUUCGGGGUUGUAGGACUUGCGUAAAGGUUAUGAAGGUAAAAGAACUAGUUGGGAAACUAGACCAAAGAGGGUGAAAGUCCCGUAUUUUAAACCGAAUUAACUAGGCGAGUAUCCUGAGUAGGACGGGGCACGUGAAACCUUGUCUGAAUCUGGGGGGACCACCCUCCAAGGCAAAAUACUACUAACUGACCGAUAGUGAACAAGUACCGUGAGGGAAAGGUUAAAAGAACCCCGACGAGGGGAGUGAAAUAGAACUUGAAACCAUACACUUACAAACAGUGGAAGGGCUAUUGUAAAGCCUGACUGCGUACCUCUUGCAUUAUGAGUCGCCGAGUUACGAUGUGUAGCAAGGUUAAGCCGUUGAAGGUGUAGCCGUAGGGAAACCGAGUCUUAAUAGGGCGAAUUAGUUGCAUGUCGUAGACCCGAAACGGGAUGAGCUAACCAUGAGCAGGUUGAAGCGAGGGUAAGACUUCGUGGAGGACCGAACCCAUAUAGGUUGAAAACUGUUGGGAUGACUUGUGGUUAGGGGUGAAAGGCCAAUCAAAUUCCGUGAUAGCUGGUUCUCUUCGAAAUGCAUUUAGGUGCAGCGUCUAGUGUUUACCAUCGGGGGUACAGCACUGAAUUGGCUAGGGGGCUUACCAGCUUACCAAACCAUAUCAAACUCAGAAUACCGAUGAGUAUAACUAGGCAGUGAGACUGCGGAUGCUAAGGUCCGUAGUCGAAAGGGAAAGAGCCCAGACCGUCAGCUAAGGUCCCUAAAUUAUAUCUAAGUGGGAAAGGUUGUGAGAUUACUUUGACAUCCAGGAGGUUGGCUUAGAAGCAGCCAUCCUUUAAAGAAAGCGUAAUAGCUCACUGGACUAGUGAUCUUGCGCCGAAAAUGUAACGGGGCUAAAGAUAUAUACCGAAGCUACGGACUAUUUUUAAUAGUGGUAGAAGAGCAUUGUGUUUACCGACGAAGGCGUACUGAUAAGGAGCGCUGGAGGUCCCACAAGAGCUGAUGGCGACAUGAGUAGCGAUAAGGAGUGUGAGAAUCACUCCCGCCGAAAAUCUAAGGGUUCCUGGGCCAGGUGACUCCGCCCAGGGUGAGUCGGAUCCUAAGGUGAGGCCGAAAGGCGUAGCCGAUGGGCAACAGGUUAAUAUUCCUGUACUUAGUAUUGUUCGUUUGACUUAAGGAAUGACGGAGAAAGGUAGCGGAUCCACCUGUUGGAUGGUGGUUUAAGCAUGUAGGGGGGCGUUUUAGGAAAAUCCGGAACGUUGUUAACCCUGAGGUGUGAUGACGAGGGCGUAGCCCGAAGUUCGUGAUCCUCUGCUUCCAAGAAAAGUUUCGUAAGGAGAACAGUAUUAAUCCGUACCGUAAACCGACACAGGUAGAUGAGGAGAGAAUCCUCAGGCGUUUGGGGUAACUCUAGUUAAGGAACUCUGCAAAUUGGUGCCGUAACUUUGGGAGAAGGCACGCCCUUUGAGGUAAUAUCACUUGCUGAUAGAAGCUUUAGAGGGCCGCAGUGAAAAGGGGGUAGCGACUGUUUAUCAAAAACAUAGGUCUCUGCAAACACGUAAGUGGAAGUAUAGGGACUGACGCCUGCCCGGUGCUGGAAGGUUAAGAGGAGAGGUUAGGGUAACCGAAGCUUUGAAUCGAAGCCCCAGUAAACGGCGGCCGUAACUAUAACGGUCCUAAGGUAGCGAAAUUCCUAGUCGGGUAAGUUCCGACCUGCACGAAUGGCGUAACGACUUCCCCACUGUCUCAACUAGAGUCCCAGCGAAAUUGGAGUGCGCGUGCAGAUACGCGCUACCCGCGGAAGGACGAAAAGACCCCGUGAACCUUUACUGUAGCUUGGCAUUGGGUUUUGAGUAACAAUGCGUAGGAUAGGUGGGAGCUUUUGAUGCGUGCGUUCUGGCGUACGUGGAGGCAUCCUUGAAAUACCACCCUUUGUUACUUGGAAUCCUAACCUACGAUCGUGAUCCGGUCGGGGGACAAUGUCUGGUGGGCAGUUUGACUGGGGCGGUCGCCUCCUAAAGAGUAACGGAGGCGCACAAAGGUUCCCUCAAGCCGCAUGGAAACCGGCUGUAGAGUGUAAACGCAUAAGGGAGCUUGACUGCGAGACUUACAAGUCGAGCAGGUGCGAAAGCAGGUGUUAAUGAUCCGGUGGUUCCGAGUGGAAGGGCCAUCGCUCAACGGAU
rnacentral:rRNA from 1 species